UCUUCUCUCUCCUUGUUGAUAUCACUCAGCUGCGUGCGUAUGUUCCCACUGUGUGCUGUCCCCGCUCUGCGCAGAUAGCUGACACAGCAGACCCCAAGAGAACCCUCAAUGACCACAGAGUUUAGUAAGGUAAGAAGGCACUUUGGCCA